CCUACGGGUGGCAGCAGUGGGGGAUAUUGCACAAUGGGGGGAACCCUGAUGCAGCGACGCCGCGUGAAGGAAGAAGGCUUUCGGGUUGUAAACUUCUUUUGUCAGGGACGAAGCAAGUGACGGUACCUGACGAUUAAGCCACGGCUAACUACGUGCCAGCAGCCGCGGUAAGCCGGGGGUGGCAAGCGUUAUUCGGGUUCACUCGGUGUAAGGUGUGUGUAGGCGGGGAAGCAAGGCAGAUGUGAAAACCACGGGCUCAACCUGUGGCCUGCAUGUGAAACUGUUUUUCUUGAGUGCUGGAGAGGCAAGCGGAAUGCCGUGUGUAGCGGUGAAAUGCGUAGAUAUACGGAGGAACACCGGUGGCGAAGGCAGAUUGCUGGACCGUAACUGACGCUGAGGCGCGAAAGCGUGGGUAGCAAACAGGAUUAGAUACCCUAGUAGUC
rnacentral:rRNA from 1 species